CUACAACCUAGGACCCAGCUAAAACUGACCCAUUCAUCCCCACUUCACAGGGAGGACCUGGGAGGCAGACCACCUGACUCAUAAGCCUAUACAUUCUUUAUAUGUUACUACUCUCUAUGUUGGACUUAGCCCUCUGUUAAAUGUUGACUAUGUGACAAACAUUUAGAAAACUACACAAAGUUAUAACCCGACCACUCACAGAGGCCAAACACGGUCAAGACCGGGAAUUUCCCCGG